ACUUGUCCCCUAAAUAGGGACNNGAAUGAACGGCUAAAUGAGGACAAAACUGUCUCUUACGGACUAGCCAAUGAAAUUGAUCCUUCAGUACAAAAGCUGAAAUUAACCCAUAAGACGAGAAGACCCUGUGGAGCUUCAAAACCAAAACCACUAAACAUGCCUCCUGGUUUUUUAGUUGGGGCGACUUUGGAGCAAAAAAAACCCUCCAAAACAUAAAUCUAUUUAUUAAGAACAACACACCAAAAAUAAUAUUAUAGACCCAGCAGUAUUAAUUUACUGUCUGAUCAAUGAACCAAGUUACCCCAGGGAUAACAGCGCUAUCCUCUUCUAGAGUCCUUAUCGACAA
rnacentral:rRNA from 1 species